AACGAACGCUGGCGGCAGGCCUAACACAUGCAAGUCGAGCGAGGUCUUCUGGUCUAGCGGCUGACGGGUGAGUAACGCGUGGGAAUAUGCCUCUUGGUACGGAAUAGCCUCGGGAAACUGGGAGUAAUACCGUAUGUGCCCUUUGGGGGAAAGAUUUAUCGCCAAGAGAUUAGCCCGCGUUGGAUUAGGUAGUUGGUGGGGUAAUGGCCUACCAAGCCGACGAUCCAUAGCUGGUUUGAGAGGAUGAUCAGCCACACUGGGACUGAGACACGGCCCAGACUCCUACGGGAGGCAGCAGCGGGGAAUCUUAGACAAUGGGGGAAACCCUGAUCUAGCCAUGCCGCGUGAGUGAUGAAGGACUUAGGGUUGUAAAGCUCUUUCAGCUGGGAAGAUAAUGACGGUACCAGAAGAAGAAGCCCCGGCUAACUACGUG
rnacentral:rRNA from 1 species